UCAAGGUGCUGGAUUCUCAGUGUGCUUGUACUGGCUGUGGCAAGACCCUACUUCAGGUUGAAGGUUUUCAGUGCUCCUGUUGAAACAAAACCCAUCCAUUUCUUGGACCCCAGGGGAGCAUUGAGAUGCUCUGCAUAAGUCCUCAGACUGGUUGAUGUUGGCAGCUGGGUUAUCAUGAUGCCUGGAGAAAGUACUUCUGCAGUGUUCUUCAUGUAGGCAAGAGCUGUUAGCACUGAAAAUCCUCCCCAGCAUGGAUUCUCCUGAGCUGUGAUCCAAUUUCUGCGUGGCAUUAACCAUCACCACGCUUGAGUCUUCCCGGAUGAGGAGCUAUUUUAUACCUUCCAGCUGAAAGACACCUGACUUAGAACCCUGGAAUUAAUGGUCUUCCUAGCUGGUUUCUUUCAGGCCAUUUGUGCUACAGGGUGAGUGUUGAAGAUAAAGAUUGAAUCUGCAGCUCUGAACACCACGAAUUGCUUAAUUCAUCUUAAUAGAGGUAUUCACUCUGAACCUGAAAAGCUUUUAGUUGAGAUUUAGCCUGUGGUUUGCUAUUACAAAUUGCUUGGUGGUAACAUCAGUUUAAGACAUUGUUGUCUCCUGGCCUUGUACUUGCUGCUAUGCUGGCACAACUACUCCUGUGGUUGGGAACCAGAUGGGAGGAGCCAUCCAGCUUGAAGGGGGGGAAAGGUUUAGUUUGUGUUUGUGUGU